CGGUGACAGAACAAAUAAAAUUUCCUUGCUCUGAAUCACGCUCUACUUCCCGGCCGCGCCUUUCGAUUUACGGCGACGAACAACCAUGGGGAGGAAAGCCCAACAGGACGAGAAAGCUCGGCCUGCCGGCGAUCCCGAGUCCGAGGAGAAGAAGAGGCUGAGAUCCCUAGCCGUCUCAAAAAAAAUCCUCCGCCGCUCGCCGGCGAAUGCCUCUGCCCCUCUCGAGCCCUCGAAGGCCGUUGUUAAGCUUCAGGGCCGCGACAUAGUGAAGCGGGGUCAACGAAAAAGCCGUUAUCUCUUCUCUUUUCCGGGCCUUAUCGCCCCGCUUACCGGCGGUAAGAUCGGCGAUCUCGCGGACCUCGCUACCAAAAAUCCAGUCCUUUACCUUGAGUUCCCGCAGGGACGGAUGAAGCUGUUUGGCACCCAUGUUUAUCCGAAGAACAAGUACUUAACGCUGCAGCUCACCAAGUCGGCGAAAGGGGUUAUGUGCGAGGAUGUUUUUGAGAGUUUGAUUGUCUUUUCUGAGGCAUGGUGGAUUGGGCAAAAGGAGAAAAAUCCUGAGGAAUACCAGCUUGAGUUUCCUAAGGACUUAAAGGAGGGAAAGGAUUGUGAUUAUGACUUCAAGGGUGGUGCUGGGGCAACAUAUGAUGAAGCAUCUGGUGGUCAAAAAAGUGGGAAGGAAUAUGUGAAUCCACCUUCUCCUGAUAAUGAACUUGAGUCUGAUGGAUCUGACGAUUUUUCUACUGUCAUUAGCAAGGAUGCAAAGAUGCCUAUUGAAACAACUCCUCUUCGACAGUCUGCAAGGACAUCAAGAAAAACAUUGAAUGUUAGUUAUGCAGAAUCAUCUUCUGAGAAGGAUUCAGCUGAUAGUGAUACUGAGGCAAUUGAAGUGGAUGAGUUGAGGAUCAAUGCUGAAGCUGAUACAAAAGCCAAUAGUCCUGCUUUAAGAACUAGAGAUGAUUUCGGUGUAGUAGGACCAAUUGUUUGUUCUCCUGAGAAUGAUGCCAUCGUCACAAAAGAAAAUUUAGCUGAAGAAGCAAAGCAAACCUUGCAAAAGUCUUCUAGAAAAUCUCCAAAUAAAAAAGGGAAGCUAGUUCAAGCUCGGUUGUCUUCCUUAUUUGAAAAAGUAGCUGACAAGAAAUCUAAGCGGACCGAGGAUGAUACUCUUGGGACAAAAAGUCCUAGUGGUAAGAGGCAGCGGCUUCUUGCAAAGGAAAAGACUGAUGCAGUGAUGGCGAAAACUUCGAGCAACAAAGGCAAGAAGUCUCGUGGAAAGAGUGGGACUGGAUCUAAAACUGAAGCCAUGAAAAAGCGGUCUCAGGAAGUGGAUGACUGGAGUGAUGAUAUUUCAAGUGAAUCACAGAAUGAAGAUGAGGAUGGAGAUGAAGAUUGGGUGGCUUGAUUCGUAAAGUGUUGUUGGAGCAUGGUUGGUUUACUGACGGAAGCAUCUUUGCUAGUUAUUGAGUAAAACAUGAUACAAGAGGCUAGUACAGAAAGAGGUGGCUUUUAAUCUUUUGCGCCAAAAUCUAUAAAAUGAGUUCAUUACAGCUCGGGAAAUGAAUGUAAGCAAGUUUUGUUAGAAUCUGUCAGAACGUGUAGGUGCAUCUGCUUAAUACAUAGUAUGUGACAAUUCCAUUCAUUUGUUUGAGUGAUUAGUAGCAGUUUGAAUGAUUUUAUUUUAUUUUGUUUUUUAUUAAUGAGAGGUGGAAUCUGGAGCAAUACUUGAAUUGCCUUCAAUAUGAUAUGAAUGUUUUGAAAUUGGGCCUCCUCAACCCAAGGAUAGGACUAGAUACAUCAG